UACGUAGGUGGCAAGCGUUGUCCGGAAUUAUUGGGCGUAAAGCGCACGUAGGCGGAUUGCUAAGUCAGGGGUGAAAUCCUGGAGCUCAACUCCAGAACUGCCCUUGAUACUGGCGGUCUCGAGUCCGGGAGAGGUGAGUGGAACUGCGAGUGUAGAGGUGAAAUUCGUAGAUAUUCGCAAGAACACCCGUGGCGAAGGCGGCUCUCUGGGACGGUACUGACGCUGAGGUGCGAAAGCGUGGGGAGCAAACAGG
rnacentral:rRNA from 1 species